GAGUUUACAACUCCCAAACCCCUGUGAAUAUACCUUUGUUGCUUCGGCGGAUCGCCCCGGGCGCUUUUGUGCCCCGGAGUCAGGUGCCCGCCGGAGGACCCAAACUCUUGUUUUACCAGUGGUAUCUUCUGAGUAAUUUUAUAAAUAAAUCAAAACUUUCAACAACGGAUCUCUUGGUUCU
rnacentral:misc_RNA from 1 species